AAGGCCCUGCUUUUGUGGGGUGCUCGAGUGGCGAACGGGUGAGUAACACGUGAGUAACCUGCCCUUGACUUUGGGAUAACUUCAGGAAACUGGGGCUAAUACCGGAUAGGAGCUCCUGCUGCAUGGUGGGGGUUGGAAAGUUUCGGCGGUUGGGGAUGGACUCGCGGCUUAUCAGCUUGUUGGUGGGGUAGUGGCUUACCAAGGCUUUGACGGGUAGCCGGCCUGAGAGGGUGACCGGCCACAUUGGGACUGAGAUACGGCCCAGACUCCUACGGGAGGCAGCAGUGGGGAAUAUUGCACAAUGGGCGGAAGCCUGAUGCAGCAACGCCGCGUGCGGGAUGACGGCCUUCGGGUUGUAAACCGCUUUCGCCUGUGACGAAGCGUGAGUGACGGUAAUGGGUAAAGAAGCACCGGCUAACUACGUGCCAGCAGCCGCGGUGAUACGUAGGGUGCGAGCGUUGUCCGGAUUUAUUGGGCGUAAAGGGCUCGUAGGUGGUUGAUCGCGUCGGAAGUGUAAUCUUGGGGCUUAACCCUGAGCGUGCUUUCGAUACGGGUUGACUUGAGGAAGGUAGGGGAGAAUGGAAUUCCUGGUGGAGCGGUGGAAUGCGCAGAUAUCAGGAGGAACACCAGUGGCGAAGGCGGUUCUCUGGGCCUUUCCUGACGCUGAGGAGCGAAAGCGUGGGGAGCGAACAGGCUUAGAUACCCUGGUAGUCCACGCUGUAAACGGUGGGUACUAGGUGUGGGGUCCAUUCCACGGGUUCCGUGCCGUAGCUAACGCUUUAAGUACCCCGCCUGGGGGAGUACGCCGCAAGGCUAAAACUCAAAGGAAUUGACGGGGCCCCGCACAAGCGGCGGAGCAUGCGGAUUAAUUCGAUGCAACGCGUAGAACCUUACCUGGGUUUGACAUGGAUCGGGAGUGCUCA
rnacentral:rRNA from 1 species